UACGAAGGGGGCUAGCGUUGUUCGGAAUUACUGGGCGUAAAGCGUAUGCAGGCGGAUCGUUAAGUCGGGGGUGAAAUCCCGAGGCUCAACCUCGGAACUGCCUUCGAUACUGGCGAUCUUGAGUCCGGGAGAGGUGAGUGGAACUGCGAGUGUAGAGGUGAAAUUCGUAGAUAUUCGCAAGAACACCAGUGGCGAAGGCGACUACCUGGCCCGUUCUUGACGCUGAGGCGCGAAAGCUAGGGGAGCAA
rnacentral:rRNA from 1 species